GCCGAACCCUGGCGGCGUGCUUAACACAUGCAAGUCGAACGGUAAGGCCCUUCGGGGUCCACGAGUGGCGAACGGGGGAGUAACACGUGGGUGAUCUGCCCUGCACUUCUGGCCAAGCCUGGGCAACUGGGGCUAAUACCGGAUAGGACCCUGGGAUGCAAGUCCCGGGGUGGCGAGCCUUUGCGGUGGGGGAUGGGCCCGCGGCCUAUCAGCUUGUUGGUGGGGUGAUGGCCUACCAAGGCGACGACGGGUAGCCGGCCUGAGAGGGUGACCGGCCACACUGGGACUGAGAUACGGCCCAGACUCCUACGGGAGGCAGCAGUGGGGAAUAUUGCACAAUGGGCGCAAGCCUGAUGCAGCAACGCCGCGUGAGGGAUGACGGCCUUCGGGUUGUAAACCUCUUUUAGUAGGGAAGAAGCGAAAGUGACGGUACCUGCAGAAAAAGCACCGGCUAACUACGUGCCAGCAGCCGCAGUAA
rnacentral:rRNA from 1 species